rnacentral:rRNA from 1 species
CCGUCAUCAGAUGAGUCUGCGUACCAUUAGCUAGUUGGUAGGGUAAAGGCCUACCAAGGCGACGAUGGUUAGCUGGUCUGAGAGGAUGAUCAGCCACACUGGAACUGAGACACGGUCCAGACUCCUACGGGAGGCAGCAGUGGGGAAUUUUGCGCAAUGGGGGAAACCCUGACGCAGCAACGCCGCGUGAGUGAUGAAGGCCCUUGGGUCGUAAAGCUCUGACAGAGGGAAAGAAAUGCAGGGGGGCUAAUAUCCCUUUUGCUUGACGGUACCCUCAAAGGAAGCACCGGCUAACUCCGUGCCAGCAGCCGCGGUAAUACGGAGGGUGCGAGCGUUGUUCGGAUUUAUUGGGCGUAAAGCGCGUGUAGGCGGUUUUUUAAGUCUGAUGUGAAAGCCCCGGGCUCAACCUGGGAAGUGCAUUGGAUACUGGAAGACUUGAAUACGGGAGAGGGCAGUGGAAUUCCUAGUGUAGGAGUGAAAUCCGUAGAUAUUAGGAGGAACACCGGUGGCGAAGGCGGCUGCCUGGACCGAUAUUGACGCUGAGACGCGAAAGCGUGGGUAGCAAACAGGAUUAGAUACCCUGGUAGUCCACGCCGUAAACGAUGAGUACUAGGUGUUGCGGGUAUUGACCCCUGCAGUGCCGCAGCUAACGCAUUAAGUACUCCGC